GAUUUGGAAGCUCUUAUAACUUGCUUAGCCUCUUUCUGCCUAAUCUUAUAGAUCAUUUUGUCUUCCUCACUCUGUUUUUUUUAAUAAUUCCUAAAUGCUAACUUUUUGUUUUUAACUAUUUUGGCCACAUCUGCGGAUUACCACAGUGGUUUCUUGAAUUUUUUGCUUUUACUGACAAGCCUAAUGUAAUUUUCUGUUGCCUUCAAUUGUGCAACUUUUAAAUAAUCC
rnacentral:lncRNA from 1 species